GGCCUUAUGGUCUAGUCGCAUGAUUCCUCGUUUGGGUUGAAGUUCGAGGAGGUCCUGGGUUCAAUUCCCGGUGAGGCCC